rnacentral:lncRNA from 1 species
GUCUGGUGUUCUGCAAUAAAUUCUAGCUUUUAUAGACUUUUCCUGGACCAGGUAGCUGCUAAUGCCAUAGAAAUUGAUUAUUUGUGGUGUUCUUAUCACUGUUUAAAAUAUCUAAUUGCUUUUUCUCCACAGAUUUGGAUUUGGCUUGCUUGAUGGUGGACGAUUAAUGAAGGAAGCCCUAAAUGGACAAAUGUUGGUCUCCCGAGACCAUGUGUUGUUGAUAACAGAGCCGUUCCUGCAAGUGGUUCUGUGGUUCGGAAACUGA